CAAUUCCUUCAGCUCAUUCCUCUGGCUGAAAGCUCAGGCCAUGUGUUGAAAACGUCUCCAGGGAGAUGCCAUUCAAACUAUGCUGUUCUGCUCCCCACCCACACUAUCCUCAACUCUUAUCAAGAAGAACUAUGAAGAGCCUAGGACUUAAGCAAAACAUCUGUAGUCCUAGAUCAGUGAGGAGGAAGGUGAGAGCUGCAUUCUUGCCCUGUGGAGGUGAGGUCCAUUGGAGGAGAGAUCUGCUGCUCGAUUGAUGAAUCCAUCUGCAGUGCCUAAACCAAAGUGAAACAGAGUCACAUGAGGCGGAAUGAACAAGGAGUGAACACGGAGGCCUAGUCAUAGGCAACAAUGACUCAGACCUAGAGGACCCAAUUUACCCACCCGCUAGCUCUGAGACAAAUACUCAUUCUUCUCCAUAUUCACAACUAUUUCGGCACAUAACUUCACAUUCUGAGAACUUGGUUUACCACUUCUCAAAAGUGCCAUGAGUUGUGUUGUAUAGUAUAAGAAUAUGGACCAAGAACAAAUCUUGUUUUUGAUUAGGAUACAGGUUCAUACCGUUCCCACACGUGAAGAGUGAGAACAACAUGAGUAAGAUAUUGGUACAGAGCCAAUAUUGGGCCUUCUUCAGCUCUUAAAGGGAAAAAAUAACCCUUGUGGUCAACCAAACUACAAAUAUUUGCCUGGCGCGGUUUGCUGUAGUCAUCACAAUUCUUUGGUGGCAAAUGUAGUUGCUUUUUCCUUUUAGGUU
rnacentral:lncRNA from 1 species